GCACUGCUGACGAGUCCUUAACAGGACGAAACAGCUGUCCAAUGC
rfam:Echinostoma caproni strain Egypt genome assembly, scaffold: ECPE_scaffold0000224